UACGUAGGGUGCAAGCGUUAAUCGGAAUUACUGGGCGUAAAGCGUGCGCAGGCGGUGAUGUAAGACAGAUGUGAAAUCCCCGGGCUCAACCUGGGAACUGCAUUUGUGACUGCAUCGCUGGAGUGCGGUAGAGGGGGAUGGAAUUCCGCGUGUAGCAGUGAAAUGCGUAGAUAUGCGGAGGAACACCGAUGGCGAAGGCAAUCCCCUGGGCCUGCACUGACGCUCAUGCACGAAAGCGUGGGGAGCAAACAGG
rnacentral:rRNA from 1 species